AUAAACACGAUGAUUAGGAGUAUUAAGGAACAUUAUUGUAUAGAGAGCUGCCGUUUGCUGAGAGGUGGUCAAUAAUUUCCCCAACUCGCCUAGGAGUGGUUAGACUGAUAUGUAGGUCUAAACGGUUUGCUUCCGUAAAGGAGCAUUUGAGAAGGUUUGCUAGUUAUUAUGAUAGACAAACCAAGAAGAGUGGUACCACGUUACGGUUAAUCCUAUCGUCUCUUUA
rnacentral:ncRNA from 1 species